UUUGCUCACCCUCAAAGCAUCCUAGGUGUAUAUGACUUUUUUACUUUCAGACGAAUCCAAUCGGAGUUAUAUUAAAAAUUGUCCUGGCCCCUCCAAGCCUUACAACGGGGAGCAGCUACGUUUGCAAUUCAAACAAUGAUUUUGUAAAAACAAUAAUUCAUUUGUUAUUUUUAUGGUCUAGGUCAGGGCUGUCCAAACUGAGUUUAGCUCCAACUUGCCUCAACACAACUGCAUGGAAGUUUCUAGUAUGCCUAUUAAGAGCUUGAUUAGCUGCUUCAGGUGUGUUUAAUUAGGGUUGGAGCUAAACUCUGCAGGACACCGGCCCCCCAGGACCGAGUUUGGACAGCCCUGGUGGUCGUACGGCAAAUGCCUGCAAAUACGGGACAAACUGUAUUCCGGAACGCUUCUCUGAUGCCUUAAAUACAGGAGGAUUUCGGAUUAUAUGGAAUGGUUGGCAACCCUAUUUAAAACGCAAAAGAGAAUUGUCUCGGGGGGGCCCCCUAGUGUUCGGGCUGCAGCCCAUGCUGCCCAUUAGGAUAACACGGCCCUGCAUGUGCAUCAAUGAGCUUUGGGCGCCCAUGACCCUGAAACCAGUUCUUCUUCCUUGCAUCACUUUUGGUAGGUACUUAUUACUGCCUACCAGGAAAACCCAGUUCCUCUGCAGCUCAGGGUGUAACUGGAAGAUCUGCAUUCUUGUUCAUACUCAUACAGUGAUGAUAAACUGAAGUCAGGUUAUGACAGAGUAUUGAGUGACAACAAAAAUACAAAAAAAAUAUUGUUCAGAGAAAAGUUUCACUUUUCAGGAUCCAGAAUACAACAUAGUUUUUUUUUGUUUUUUCAAGAGGAGUUACGACAGGAAGCUUCCCUCUCAAACUCAUGUCAGAAUGAAGACGUCAGAUCUGCAUUCUUGAUGUACUUGACAGUGAUGAUAAAGACAAUGUAUUGAGACGCAAUGACAGCAGGAAUGUUUGAGAGUUCAGCAAAAAGACACUUUAAAUAUAUGACUCUGAACUGUGGCGAGAUGCAUGGAGAAAUUUACAUUAUACUAUGUAAAGUUUUAGACAAAACAGGUUUAUGUUUUAACAGUAUUGCAAUAUUGCUCACCCUUUUAAAACAGCUUUUGUCAUAGUUUUUCAUAUUUUUUUGAGAAUACUCACAUACACAGCAACUGUAUGUUUACAUGAACUGAAUAAGACAGAAGCCAAGAACCUUACUUAAUAAAUAUGUCUGUAGCAAUUAAUGUUUACUAUAACUGAAGUGUUAAAUGCUUAUCAAAUGAGCUUUAUUGUUUUAUGAGACCCCAAAUGACCCCUGACCUCAAUGAGCUUUAUUUUUUCAACACCUUCUUUAAACCAUGAGUACAUCUGUGAUAAAAUUAAACAGAAAUACAAAAGUA